AUGGGCGAGAAAGUUUGUGCCGGCUAUCUCAUCAGAGUCUACAAGGGUAAAAGGAAGAGCGGGGUUCGGCCGCUGCCACGUCGUGGGCAGAUAAAGCUGAGGAUCGCCCACAUCAUGAUGCACCCCGUCGCUUCGGCGCUCCUCCUCAGGACUACAUCACAGCUUCCAGUUCUGGAUUACAAGUGA
rnacentral:rRNA from 1 species